rnacentral:rRNA from 1 species
UACAGAGGUCUCAAGCGUUGUUCGGAUUCAUUGGGCGUAAAGGGCGCGUAGGCGGCCACCGCAAGUCGGUUGUGAAAUCUCUGGGCUUAACCCAGAAAGGUCAACCGAUACUGCGGGGCUAGAGUGCAGAAGGGGCAACUGGAAUUCUCGGUGUAGCGGUGAAAUGCGUAGAUAUCGAGAGGAACACCUGCGGCGAAGGCGGGUUGCUGGGCUGACACUGACGCUGAAGCGCGAAAGCUAGGGGAGCGAACGGG